AGCACGUGUGGUGUAGUGGUCAGGGUGUCGGGCUAGGACCUGGGAGACCAGGGUUCAAAUCCCCACUCAGCUU